ACUCCAUGAAAAAGUCUAGUGACUCCCUCGACAAGUCCAGCUUCAUCAACAAAUCCGUCAUCUCCCUCAAAAACUCCAUCAUCUCCCUCCGCAACUCCAACUACGACAGUACCUCCUCCAAAAUCUUGAGGAACAUAGUGUGUCGCAAAGAAAGGCGUCUUAGAUGCCCAAUUACAGACCAAUCUGUGCUAUUAUUAUAGUCAUGGCGUUGACUGCAGCAAAAUACAAGUCGGUGCACCUUGUUAUGAUCCCAACGCAGUUGCUUCCCACGCCGCUUAUACCAUGAAUCUAUUGUAUUAGGCGUCUGGCAGGAGUCUCCUGGGAGCUGUGAUUUCACGCAGGCAGCUACAGUUACAUCCACUAAUCCUAGUGAUUAUGAUGAAAAGUGAUGGAAAACAAGUACAAUUCAGCCAAAACAGGGCUUGUGCGAUCGAGUUGUUGCUUGUGCGCCCGAACAGAGGAGGGUUGAUGGCAUCAAGGAAUAUGCAGUUUUGUGCGACCGAACGUCCCUUCUUGUUCGGUAGCACAAAAUGGAUUUUUGGAGACAGAAUGCCCCAAAAUUGGUAAAUGACCGCACAUGUUAUGGUGUUCGACCACACAAAAGUUGUGCGCCCACACAGGUCUUUCCGUUCUACCGAAUCAAACUGCAAAGGAGACAUGACCCAAGAAAACACCAUUUGACCGAACAGGGUUUCUCGUUCGGUCGCACAUGACGAAGGAAUUGUUCUUCGCUGCGUUUGCUCGCACGGGGCUUAAUGUUUGCUCGAAUGGGUUUCUUAUGUUCGGUCGCACAGAGGGUAUAUGCGACCAAAUGGCUGCGCGAACUGCUUAUUUUCGAAUUUCGGCUUCUAUUUGGGGAAACUUAUAAAUAGAUUUUUCUUUUAUUUUAUUUGGUAGAAUUUUAGUUUAACAUUUUAGAAUCCCAAAAUAGAUUUUCAGCAAUUUCUAGAGAGAGAAACUCUCCUCCAUUGAAGCAUCAAGUUGUAAUUUCUUAAACUCUUCUUCUAAUUUCUUGCAAUUCAAUUCAAUUUCUUACUUCU